rnacentral:lncRNA from 10 species
UGAGUUUGUUAGUGUUUGCUUGGUGUAUGUUUAAUUUUUACUUUAAAAUCACAGGAAAAUGUCCACCUAAGAUUCCUUCUCAUUAAACUAUGUAGCUACAAUACACGAAAUGAAAUGAGCUUCACAGAAUUGAACUAGUUUUGAAAUCAGCACUGAUUGGCAAAUCCCUAAAAAUUAAUUUCAGGAUAAUUAAAAUUGAAAUGUAGAAAGUGUGGCUCCAGUGGGAUGGAGGAAAAGAAGUGGGACACAUGCUAUUACACAACAUGAUCCCACUUCCCUCUUAUGAGACAUGCUUAAAAGUCAUUUGAGUACAAUUCAUUUACUUAGA